rnacentral:rRNA from 1 species
UACGAGGGGGGCAAGCGUUGUUCGGAAUUAUUGGGCGUAAAGGGCGCGUAGGCGGCCUUUCAAGUGACGGGUGAAAGCCCUCGGCUUAACCGAGGAACUGCCUGUCAGACUGGAAGGCUUGAGACCGGGAGAGGUGAGUGGAAUUCCCAGUGUAGCGGUGAAAUGCGUAGAUAUUGGGAGGAACACCAGUGGCGAAGGCGGCUCACUGGACCGGUACUGACGCUGAGGCGCGAAAGCGUGGGGAGCAAACAGG